GGAGAGAUGGCUGAGUUGGUCUAAGGCGCACGACUGGAAAUCGUGUGUACGCGUAUAGCGUACCGAGGGUUCGAAUCCCUCUCUCUCCGCCA
rnacentral:tRNA from 1 species